rnacentral:rRNA from 1 species
ACCAACAGGGAUUGCCCUAGUAACGGCGAGUGAAGCGGCAACAGCUCAAAUUUGAAAUCUGGCUCUUUUAGAGUCCGAGUUGUAAUUUGCAGAGGGCGCUUUGGCUUUGGCAGCGGUCCAAGUUCCUUGGAACAGGACGUCACAGAGGGUGAGAAUCCCGUACGUGGUCGCUAGCUAUUGCCGUGUAAAGCCCCUUCGACGAGUCGAGUUGUUUGGGAAUGCAGCUCUAAAUGGGAGGUAAAUUUCUUCUAAAGCUAAAUAUUGGCCAGAGACCGAUAGCGCACAAGUAGAGUGAUCGAAAGAUGAAAAGCACUUUGGAAAGAGAGUCAAACAGCACGUGAAAUUGUUGAAAGGGAAGCGCUUGCAGCCAGACUUGCUUGCAGUUGCUCAUCCGGGCUUUUGCCCGGUGCACUCUUCUGCAGGCAGGCCAGCAUCAGUUUGGGCGGUGGGAUAAAGGUCUCUGUCACGUUCCUUCCUUCGGGUUGGCCAUAUAGGGGAGACGUCAUACCACCAGCCUGGACUGAGGUCCGCGCAUCUGCUAGGAUGCUGGCGUAAUGGCUGUAAGCGGCCCGUCUUGAAACACGGACCAAGGAGUCUAACAUCUAUGCGAGUGUUUGGGUGUCAAGCCCGAACGCGUAAUGAAAGUGAACGGAGGUGGGAACCCGCAAGGGUGCACCAUCGACCGAUCCUGAAGUUUACGGAAGGAUUUGAGUAAGAGCAUGGCUGUUGGGACCCGAAAGAUGGUGAACUAUGCUUGAAUAGGGUGAAGCCAGAGGAAACUCUGGUGGAGGCUCGCAGCGGUUCUGACGUGCAAAUCGAUCGUCAAAUUUGGGCAUAGGGGCGAAAGACUAAUCGAAC